GACGAACGCUGGCGGCGUGCUUAACACAUGCAAGUCGAACGGAAAGGCCCUGCUUUUGUGGGGUGCUCGAGUGGCGAACGGGUGAGUAACACGUGAGUAACCUGCCCUUGACUUUGGGAUAACUUCAGGAAACUGGGGCUAAUACCGGAUAGGAGCUCCUGCUGCAUGGUGGGGUUGGGAAAGUUUCGGCGGUUGGGGAUGGACUCGCGGCUUAUCAGCUUGUUGGUGGGGUAGUGGCUUACCAAGGCUUUGACGGGUAGCCGGCCUGAGAGGGUGACCGGCCACAUUGGGACUGAGAUACGGCCCAGACUCCUACGGGAGGCAGCAGUGGGGAAUAUUGCACAAUGGGCGGAAGCCUGAUGCAGCAACGCCGCGUGCGGGAUGACGGCCUUCGGGUUGUAAACCGCUUUCGCCUGUGACGAAGCGUGAGUGACGGUAAUGGGUAAAGAAGCACCGGCUAACUACGUG
rnacentral:rRNA from 1 species